AAAGUCGUAACAAGGUCUCCGUUGGUGAACCAGCGGAGGGAUCAUUACCGAGUGCCUAUACUCGCAACCCUUUGUGAACCUUUAUACCCGUUGCUUCGGCGGCGCGCGACCCCCGGGGAGCGUGCCCGCCGGUGUAUUCAGAAUCUCUGUUUGAACCCGACGUUACAUCUGAGUGUUCUAAGCGAACUGUUAAAACUUUCAACAACGGAUCUCUUGGCUCUA
rnacentral:misc_RNA from 1 species